rnacentral:rRNA from 1 species
CCUACGGGAGGCAGCAGUGGGGGAUAUUGCACAAUGGGGGAAACCCUGAUGCAGCGACGCCGCGUGGGCGAAGAAGUAUUUCGGUAUGUAAAGCCCUAUCAGCAGGGAAGAAGAAAUGACGGUACCUGAGUAAGAAGCACCGGCUAAAUACGUGCCAGCAGCCGCGGUAAUACGUAGGGUGCAAGCGUUAUCCGGAAUUAGUGGGUGUAAAGGGAGCGCAGGCGGCACGGUAAGCCUGAUGUGAAAGCCCUCGGCCCAACCGCGGGACUGCAUUGGGAACUACCGGGCUGGAGUGCCGGAGAGGUAGGCGGAAUUCCUAGUGUAGCGGUGAAAUGCGUAGAUAUUAGGAGGAACACCAGUGGCGAAGGCGAGUUCCUGGACAUUAACUGACGCUGAGGCACGAAGGCCAGGGGAGCGAAAGGGAUUAGAUACCCGAGUAGUC